AGCCCGGGCUCUUCCCAGUGAGCCACGCUGCUUCUCAAGUGACCAAAGGCGUACUAUUCAGUGCCCUUAGUGAGAACCGAUUUACCGUCUCUGCUUGACGGAUCAAUCGGAGAGGCUGGAUUUACGAUCUAAUUAGACUCCGUGGGACACUUCGGCUUCCACGGUUCUACACGGUACGGCGUAAACUAACCAACGGUGACACCAGAAAGGCACUGAGAUUAGGAGAAGACCGCAGGCCGCGGGGCGUGCCCCGGUGGUCGACGAGACGGACCCGUUCGGACGCGUAAGCUGCCGAGGCGCGGGGCCCCGGGGGGCACGUGGACCCCCGGGGCGAGGGAGCCGUUUGCUGGGAGGUCCUAGCGGUCCCACGGGCCCUUGGCUCGCCCCCAGUGCCGUGCCCCGGCCAGGGCAGACCCCAGGCCGAUGUGGAGCUGGAGAAAGUCAGACGAAGCUACGGCCGGGCACGCACCGUUUCCGCAUUGUGGCUUUAAGGCCCCGGGCGGGGCUAGGAAAGUCACAGCCACGAGGGGAGUGAAAGGGUAGCGUUUACUGGCCGCUGUGAAAAGAGAGAAGGGUUUAAAUGAACCGAAAAAUGGGUUUAGAACCUAUUCAAGCUGGGUAUUUUUUUUUAUUUUUUUUUACAAGACUCUUAACCUAACUCGGUUAUUCACGGGCAGACCAAACCUUCUGAAGAAUGCUGCGCUCGGUACGGGUUAAUGCUGACCGACACGGAGGCCGGACGGUGUCCGCCUUCCUACCCUAAUCAGGCUUCGCGGUUGGCACGCCCCCUUCGAUUCCGGCCCGCCCGGCCGUAAAGCGUUUAUGGAGCAGGGCGGAGUCGUACGGACCCUUCAUUUAAACACCGGACUUCCCAGGUGGGUAACCUGGGUUCCCUAAUUUGGGGAUACGCGCCGCCUCCCGCUCCGUGGGGUCCUUCGGUCCGCCGUCGUGUCCGGCGGCUGGGAGAAACAGCAGGUGGCCCAGCUGCAAUACUGCCGCCAUCCACCGGGAGGUGCGCCGCGGGCAUGAUCCGCACCCGGGACCCGAGGCCGCACACCCGCGUCGAGCUCGGCCUUCCUCCUAAAAGCGGGGAGCCGGCGCCCUUCUAAGGGACGAGCGGGACGGGCGCCAUCCGCUCCUCCCAGAGUCCGCGCUCUCUUUCGCUCGGCGGGCGGUCCGGCCUCGGGCCUCGUCCUUCGGCCGCCGCGCGGCUGGGAGAGGUGGCCUGGCCCGGGCUUCCUCCUCGUCACCGGGCUCGCGCCCACAGAGACACCAGACAGGAGGAGGAGGAGGAGGAGGUUCCGAGCGUGCGGUAGGUCCAGCGAGUUGCCCUCCCUCCCCGCCCCCCCGCACUUCUAAAACCAGGAGCCGUUCCCAGAUUUAAGAAACACGACACCCGCCACGGCUGUCCCUUCUCCUCCUCCUCCUCCUGCCCGCGCGCAGAAGUCUCUUGAGAUUUCAGAGCUCCGCCCCCGUGAAUCUGACCUAAGGCUAUCGAAAACGGCACGCGCAUUUUGUCGCAAGAGUAAAAACGGACCCAAACUCCGUCGUAUGGAUUGCCCUCCGCUUUUUAUCCGCGGGCCGGAAGUGUUCUCCGCCCACGGGGCGCGUUGGAGCCCGGACCGCUUUACCCGUCCGGUCGCCGCGCGAGGUUUAUAACUCUUGCUUCGAGGGGGGCUGCUUCCGUCCAGCUCCCGCCUCUUCUCCGCCGGGCGCCAGCCAGGUGAAGUACACCUUCACCGGAUCGACGUUCCAGUGCUUGUGAAAGGAGACGGGGACCUGAUGAGCAAGGUAGUCCCUGGGGUAGUCCGUGGGCCGAGCCUGCGGGGGACAGGACAGAGAGACGAGAGGCAUCCCGGGUUAACGGAAACCGCCCUCUCCUCCGGACGGGCCCCUCCGACCUCACUGUCCUGCCCUCGGUGACUCUGGGUAAAGCCGUUCCCAUCUGCGAUAGUCCGAGCCCUCGUCCGAUGACCGUCACUGACGUCAAAACCGUUAAACGGAGCGAAUCUUAGAUUUGCAGCCGGCGAUCAGAGCGUCGGCUCGACGCGCCGUUCGCCGUGGGACUCGGAGUCCCGGCCCCUUUCGUGCCUCCUCGUUGCACGCGGCCUCCGACCCUUCGGCUCGAAGACCUGCUUUCUGGACAGCGGGACGCCGUUCUGCUCUGUCUCCGAUAAGUGACGUGGUCAUCGUUGCUGGAGAUGAGGUAACAGAGGCACAGAGACGUGAAGGGAC